AUGGUUGACCUCGGAUCAGGUAGGGAUACCCGC
rnacentral:rRNA from 1 species